CAGCAGCCGCGGUAAUACCAACCCCGCGAGUGGUCGGGACGUUUAUUGGGCCUAAAGCGUCCGUAGCCGGCCCGGUAAGUCCCUCCUUAAAGCCCACGGCUCAACCGUGGGAGCGGAGGGAUACUGCCGGGCUAGGGGGCGGGAGAGGCCGGGGGUACUCCUGGGGUCGGGGCGAAAUCCUAUAAUCCCAGGAGGACCACCAGUGGCGAAGGCGCCCGGCUAGCACGCGCCCGACGGUGAGGGACGAAAGCUGGGGGAGCAAAGGGGAUUAGAUACCCCCGUAGUCCCAGCUGUAAACGAUGCAGGCUAGGUGUUAGGCGGGCUGCGUGCCCGCCUAGUGCCGGAGGGAAGCCGUUAAGCCUGCCGCCUGGGGAGUACGGCCGCAAGGCUGAAACUUAAAGGAAUUGGCGGG
rnacentral:rRNA from 1 species